UACGUAGGGACCAAGCGUUGUUCGGAUUUACUGGGCGUAAAGGGCGCGUAGGCGGCGUGACAAGUCACUUGUGAAAUCUCUGGGCUUAACCCAGAACGGCCAAGUGAAACUGUUGUGCUAGAGUGCAGAAGGGGCAAUCGGAAUUCUCGGUGUAGCGGUGAAAUGCGUAGAUAUCGAGAGGAACACCAGAGGUGAAGACGGGUUGCUGGGCUGACACUGACGCUGAGGCGCGAAAGCCAGGGGAGGCAAACGGG
rnacentral:rRNA from 1 species